AUCCAGCUGAGCAGACCCGAAUAGGACGAAACGCGCGUCCUGGAU
rnacentral:hammerhead_ribozyme from 1 species